CCCCCAUGCUGUUCUCAUGAUAGUGAGUGAGUGCUCACGAGAUCUGAUGGUUUUAUAAGUGUUUGGAAGUUCCUCCUUCAUUCUUCUUUCUCCUGCUGCCUUGUAAAGAAGUUGCUUGCUUCCCCUUCAGCUUCUGCCAUGAUUGUAAGUUUCCGGAGACCUCUGCAGCCAUGUGGAACUGAAUCAUGUUUUUCCCGGGAUGUCAAAGAUAAACUGGAGUUUCAAUCUUGCUAUCUUAACAAGAACAGAGGGAGAACAAAGAAUAAAACAAGAAAAUAAAGCUGACUAUAUUAAAAGAACAGAGGGAAAGGAUACAGACACAAAUCACCCAGGGGAAGAGAUGCAUGGGGCAGAAUCCAAGAAGGUUCCAAACCAGGAGCUUUCAGUUACCCUUCCUCACGGAGUCAUGGACAGCGCUGCUUUUCUGGCAAUGACAUGUGACAAUACACAAUCUAGGCAUAUACUAGGCUGUAACGAGAUUUGCUCUGAGGACACAUGCUGUCUGUGAAACAUCUUCUGCUUCACUCUGGGAAGAAUGAUUGAAUUUCUUUAGCCACAGUUUUGUUUUCUGUCUCAAGGCGUUCACUGCCAAGGUAGAAGGGAUUCAGCAUGUUCUAGGUCAGGUUUUUACUGAAAAAGAUUUUUAUGUCUUUCUUGAAAAAGUCAUAAAAGGAAAAAGAAAAGAGAAUGGAUGGUCACAAACUAAAUGGUUCAGUUGCGAACGUUGCCUCAAAUAUUUCCUUAAGGCUCAUUAAGAGGAGAUUUUUC
rnacentral:lncRNA from 1 species